GAUGAAGAACGCAGCGAAAUGCGAUAAGUAAUGCGAAUUGCAGAAUUCCGUGAGUCAUCGAAUCUUUGAACGCACAUUGCGCCCCCUGGUAUUCCGGGGGGCAUGCCUGUCCGAGCGUCAUUACAACCCUCAAGCUCAGCUUGGUGUUGGGCCCCGCCGCCCCGGCGGGCCCUAAAGUCAGUGGCGGUGCCGUCCGGCUCCGAGCGUAGUAAUUCUUCUCGCUCUGGAGGUCCGGUCGUGUGCUCGCCAGCAACCCCCAAUUUUUUUCAGGUUGACCUCGGAUCAGGUAGGGAUACCCGCUGAACUUAAGCAUAUCAAUAAGCGGAGGA
rnacentral:misc_RNA from 1 species